rnacentral:rRNA from 1 species
AUACGGAGGGUGCAAGCGUUACUCGGAAUCACUGGGCGUAAAGCGCGCGCAGGCGGCCUGAUAAGUUGGAUGUGAAAGCCUACGGCUCAACCGUAGAACUGCAUCCAAAACUGUCAGGCUAGAGUGUAGGAGAGGAAGAUGGAAUUAGUUGUGUAGGGGUAAAAUCCGUAGAGAUAACUAGGAAUACCAAAAGCGAAGGCAAUCUUCUGGAACACUACUGACGCUGAGGCGCGAAAGCGUGGGGAGCAAACAGGAUUAGAAACCCCAGUAGUCC